rnacentral:rRNA from 1 species
CCUACGGGAGGCUGCAGUGGGGAAUAUUGCACAAUGGGGGGAACCCUGAUGCAGCAAUGCCGCGUGGGUGAAGAAGCACUCCGGUGCGUAAAGCUCUAUCAGCAGGGACGAAAAAGACGGUACCUGACUAAGAAUCCCCGGCUAACUACGUGCCAGCAGCCGCGGUAAUACGUAGGGGGCAAGCGUUAUCCGGAUUUACUGGGUGUAAAGGGAGCGUAGACGGCAAGGCAAGCCAGAAGUGAAAGGGCAGGGCUCAACCCUGUACAUGCUUUUGGAACUGUGGUGCUAGAGUGCAGGAGAGGUAAGUGGAAUUCCUAGUGUAGCGGUGAAAUGCGUAGAUAUUAGGAGGAACACCAGUGGCGAAGGCGGCUUACUGGACUGUAACUGACGUUGAGGCUCGAAAGCGUGGGGAGCAAACAGGAUUAGAUACCCCAGUAGUC